rnacentral:rRNA from 1 species
AUUGAACGCUGGCGGCAUGCCUUACACAUGCAAGUCGAACGGCAGCACGGGGCAACCUGGUGGCGAGUGGCGAACGGGUGAGUAAUGCAUCGGAACGUACCUUUCAGUGGGGGAUAACGUAGCGAAAGUUACGCUAAUACCGCAUAUUCUGUGAGCAGGAAAGCAGGGGAUCGCAAGACCUUGCGCUGAUUGAGCGGCCGAUGUCAGAUUAGCUAGUUGGUGAGGUAAAGGCUCACCAAGGCGACGAUCUGUAGCGGGUCUGAGAGGAUGAUCCGCCACACUGGAACCGAGACACGGUCCAGACUCCUACGGGAGGCAGCAGUGGGGAAUUUUGGACAAUGGGGGCAACCCUGAUUCAGCCAUGCCGCGUGAGUGAAGAAGGCCUUCGGGUUGUAAAGCUCUUUCGGCCGGGAAGAAAUCGCACGGGCUAAUACCCUGUGUGGAUGACGGUACCGGAAUAAGAAGCACCGGCUAACUACGUGCCAGCCGCCGCGGUAAGAC